rnacentral:rRNA from 1 species
GACGAACGCUGGCGGCGUGCCUAAUACAUGCAAGUCGAGCGAAGUUUUUCUGGUGCUUGCACCGGAAAAACUUAGCGGCGAACGGGUGAGUAACACGUAAAGAACCUGCCUCAUAGACUGGGACAACUAUUGGAAACGAUAGCUAAUACCGGAUAACAGCAUUAACUGCAUGGUUGAUGUUUAAAAGUUGGUUUUGCUAACACUAUGAGAUGGCUUUGCGGUGCAUUAGCUAGUUGGUGGGGUAAAGGCCUACCAAGGCGACGAUGCAUAGCCGACCUGAGAGGGUGAUCGGCCACACUGGGACUGAGACACGGCCCAGACUCCUACGGGAGGCAGCAGUAGGGAAUCUUCCGCAAUGGGCGAAAGCCUGACGGAGCAACGCCGCGUGAGUGAAGAAGGAUUUCGGUUCGUAAAGCUCUGUUGUUAGGGAAGAAUGAUUGUGUAGUAACUAUACACCAGAGAGACGGACCUAACCA